rnacentral:lncRNA from 1 species
UCAAAAAGUAUUUAAAAUGAAUUAAAAACUAUCAAAAACAAAAUAAUUCACAAAAAAUAUUAAAUGGAAUCACAAAAAUAAUUAAAAAUCAUAUUAUGAAACUAGAUUUUAAAAGAAAAUUUUUGCAAUUGGUCCCAUAUUUUUGUGAUUCCAAAUAAAAGAGUUAUGAGUUUUUGAAAAUAAAUGGAAUAAAAGAAAAUAAAAUAGAAAUUAUAAAAAUAGAAAAAAUCUGGAGCGCAUGAUCAACACUCAUUAAUUGACGUGGACCAUCAUGUGGCUCUGAGGCGCGCGCUCAUUGUGUUCAUUAGUCCAACGGGUAACAAAAUGAAUUAAA